rnacentral:rRNA from 1 species
UACAGAGGUCCCAAGCGUUGUUCGGAUUCACUGGGCGUAAAGCGUGCGCAGGCGGCUUCUCAAGUCAGGGGUGAAAGCCCAGAGCUCAACUCUGGAAUUGCCUUUGAGACUGAGUGGCUUGAGUACGAGAGAGGUGAGUGGAAUUCCCAGUGUAGAGGUGAAAUUCGUAGAUAUUGGGAAGAACACCGGUGGCGAAGGCGGCUCACUGGCUCGUAACUGACGCUCAUGCACGACGGCGUGGGGAUCAAACAGG